GAACUGGAGUCUGUUGGCUACUUUGGGAGAAGAAAGGGGCAGUGCUCUGAGGAGAUGCCUGUGAGAAAAUACCAAGAAGAUUCAGUUCUCAGGAAACAGUGAAAGAUAAUGAAGAUCAAGUCUGCCUAUUGAUUGGUGCAAAAGAGGAGAUCACAUCCUUGCAUGUACCUACUUACAGGAGUCCCUCAAACAGUUAGCACUCAAUGGAUGGUUUCUGCAGUGGUAUCCUUCCCUCUGCCUUGGGAAACCUGCAGAUCCUCAGCUUAGAAUGGAAAGGACUCAACAAAUCCCUGUCCCUUGAAUAAGCUUGUGCCUCUCAACAUGGGACAGACUGGCCUGCAGGUAAUACUGUGGUGCCUGAUCAAGCCAGGCUAAGAUGUACAGAAUAGGAGCUAUGAAACGUUUCCCCUCACGUGUAGGGAAGAUCCUGCUACUUACAACAAUGAAGUCAAAAGUCUCUGAAAGAAGAAAUGACUAUAGAAUCAUAGAGUAUCCAGAGUUGGAAGAUGCCCAUAAGGAUCUUCAAGUCCAAGUCCUGAUGCUGCACAGAACAACAGCCAAAAUCACACCAUAUUUUUACAUAGUAGUAGUGAUACUAACAAAGUGUGUUCUACUUAAAAUGGUAAGAAUUCUGUAGUAGAGGCAGUCCAGAAUCUUUAAUGGUUUUCCUCAGGUGAGAGUCUCUCUUUGAUUAAUAUUGUUCCAGUUUAUAUGCUGGAGUAAUAUGUGUUCCUCUCUACAACGAAUUUAUUUCAUCAGAGCCUGAGAGUUAUUUUGAUUCAGUGUCAUUCCUACUCUUCAGUUUUGUUUAUACACCUUAUGAAAUUUUUAAGAGAUGUAUCAAUGUUCAGUUAGGAAAAGCUUCCACAUUGCCUAUGAGAAUCUAUUGUUACCUGAUGCUUUCGUUUCAGUGGUGGCCUUUUUCAAUUUACUUUUCCAAAGGAUGAAUUUAUGUAUGAGAUUUUUUUGGUUUUCUUGAGGUAACCUUUUCUUUCUAACACCUGAUGACUUGCUGAUACAUGAAUGAGCAAGAGAUACCUUUCAUAACUUUUCUCAUCUAUCUCAGAAAAGAAAAAGUACCCUAAUGCAGCCAGUUUCUAUGGUAUUCCCAAUUCUCUAAUCACAUGUUAGUCUUACAUUUGUGUUAAAUAUUUCACAAGACUUCUAGUUAUGUGUGUGCAUUGUGCUGACUCAGUACUUUCAACUUCAGAAAUGUUUCACUGUAAAAAAAAAAAAGGAGAUAAAGUACAAAAUAAAAGAAAAAAAAACCCAGCUAUCAUAUUUCAAACUCA